AUUGAACGCUGGCGGCAUGCCUUACACAUGCAAGUCGAACGGCAGCACGGGGGCAACCCUGGUGGCGAGUGGCGAACGGGUGAGUAAUAUAUCGGAACGUGCCCUGGAGUGGGGGAUAACGUAGCGAAAGUUACGCUAAUACCGCAUACGAUCUACGGAUGAAAGUGGGGGAUCGCAAGACCUCAUGCUCGUGGAGCGGCCGAUAUCUGAUUAGCUUAGAUGGUGAGGUAAAUGCUCACCAUGGCGACGAUCCGUAGCUGGUCUGAGAGGACGACCAGCCACACUGGGACUGAGACACGGCCCAGACUCCUACGGGUGCAG
rnacentral:rRNA from 1 species